AUGAACGCUGGCGGCGUGCCUAAUCCAUGCCAGUCGCGCGAACAGACGAGGAGCUUGCUCCUCUGACGUUAGCGGCGGACGGGUGAGUAACACGUGGAUAACCUACCUAUAAGACUGGGAUAACUUCGGGAAACCGGAGCUAAUACCGGAUAAUAUAUUGAACCGCAUGGUUCAAUAGUGAAAGACGGUUUUGCUGUCACUUAUAGAUGGAUCCGCGCCGCAUUAGCUAGUUGGUAAGGUAACGGCUUACCAAGGCAACGAUGCGUAGCCGACCUGAGAGGGUGAUCGGCCACACUGGAACUGAGACACGGUCCAGACUCCUACGGGAGGCAGCAGUAGGGAAUCUUCCGCAGUGGGCGAAAGCCUGACGGAGCAACGCCGCGUGAGUGAUGAAGGUCUUCGGAUCGUAAAACUCUGUUAUUAGGGAAGAACAAAUGUGUAAGUAACUAUGCACGUCUUGACGGUACCUAAUCAGAAAGCCACGGCUAACUACGUG
rnacentral:rRNA from 1 species